rnacentral:rRNA from 1 species
CCUACGGGAGGCAGCAGUGAGGAAUAUUGGUCAAUGGACGAGAGUCUGAACCAGCCAAGUAGCGUGAAGGAUGACUGCCCUAUGGGUUGUAAACUUCUUUUAUAUGGGAAUAAAAUGUUCCACGUGUGGGAUUUUGUAUGUACCAUAUGAAUAAGGAUCGGCUAACUCCGUGCCAGCAGCCGCGGUAAUACGGAGGAUCCGAGCGUUAUCCGGAUUUAUUGGGUUUAAAGGGAGCGUAGGUGGAUUGUUAAGUCAGUUGUGAAAGUUUGCGGCUCAACCGUAAAAUUGCAGUUGAAACUGGCAGUCUUGAGUGCGGUAGAGGUGGGCGGAAUUCGUGGUGUAGCGGUGAAAUGCUUAGAUAUCACGAAGAACUCCGAUUGCGAAGGCAGUUCACUGGACUGCAACUGACACUGAGGCUCGAAAGUGUGGGUAUCAAACAGGAUUAGAUACCCGGGUAGUC